GGAACGGCAGACCCUUUCGUGGGCGGCGACCACGACCAGAUGCAGGGCGUGCGGGUACGACCUAAAGCUGAGCUCUCUGGUGCUGUACACGGCGGCCGGCGCGACGAGGCGGCGGCGGAGGGUGGUGGUGUUUGAGGCGGACGGUUGUUCUGCUGCAAGUGCGGCGCCCACCUCCACGUGCGGGCGUUCCGCCUCUUCUUGCGCCGGACGCGGUUGCUGUGCUGCAAGUGCGGCGCCCACCUCGGUUACGGCUACCACGAGCAUGACACCACUGCCAACAGCAAGGCUCCCUGGAAUGGAUUCCAGAAGAUUGACAAGAUCAAGGACUCUAACAGGCAGUCCAAGCAGCGGGAGGAGCUCACUGGGAAGAUGAGGGAGUGCAAGCGGUAGCUUAAUCGCAGACCUUGCAGGUGUUGGUGACGCCCUGGUGACCAGUGGUGCUUGGCCAUGGGCUCUAGCCGCCGGUGGUGUACGCCGCUAGGUCGUUAAGGGGAGCCAGCACAGGGAGCCCUUGGGGUCGCGCAUCCUCCACCUCCUCGGUACCUGCUCACCCUGGUGAGCAGCGCGAGGAGGGCCGCCCCAAGAACCCCGGAAGGAUGGCCAUGGCGCCGCUCGAUGGAUUUACGCCUUGUUGCUCAUCCAUCCUAUCUCCUAAGGUUUGCCUUUUCUUCUCAGAAGGUGGAUCUGCCUGGCCAUGGACGUGAGCAGAGAAAACCAUAGCCGGCUCUUCCUCUCUGCCUCUCCGCUCAGGAUGCUAGAUUUUUUGUACUAAUAGUCUCUUGCAACUUGUGUGAAUUUGGUUGUGGGCUGUUUCGACCUCCUGUUGGGUGAUGCCGCACUCACGCUCGAGAACCUCAGGUUCUUUAAUGUUAUGAUUGGCACGGUUGUCUGGAUUUGGAAGUGGUGAACAAGAGAAAAUUUACUAUCUCACUUGAAGACAAUGGAUUACUGCUGGUGUAUAUAUGUAAAAUUACUUACUGGUGGUCUUACUUUCAGAUCGCAAGUUUGUGCGAAUCAGACUAGAAAAGAAUUGCUUGGACAUUCUUGGGUAUUGUGGUCCUGUGAUUUUUUAAUAUGCUCAUACACUGUGAGUAGCUAAAUGGUUCCUUGCCUUCUGUUAAAAUAUAGUGUUUCUGUGGAGGAGGUAAAAGAGGAGUCCUAUUUUUGGUUCAGAUUUCUUGCCAAUAAUUAUCCCUUUGGCUGCAUUGUGUUCUUCCGGCAACUAUGUUAAUUGCUCUGAGGUUAAACUCUCAUUAUCUACCACGCCUUUCCAAACAUGUGUUGUUGCUAGCUUCAGGUAAAUCUUCUCCCAGUUUUGUUGUAUACACCAGGUGCCAAUGUACAAAGUUGUAUGAUUAAAUUCCCCCUUGCAAGUUUAACUAUCUCAUUAUCUACCACGCCUUUCUAAACAUCUGUUGUUGCUAGCUUCAGGUAAAUCUUCUCCCGGUUCUGCUGUAUAUGCAUGUUUACUAUUUAUCACUUCGCAGGUUCUGAUUCGCGCGUAACAAUUUUUUCUUUGUUGUAAAUAUACAGGUGGGAUCCUUCUGUUCUGUAUAUGUACGGAGGCUUCGUAUGUCUUCUUACUUAUAACCCUGAUUGGAGGCACUAGCGGAGCCAACCAUGGAAGCGCUGCCCUACAUACUUCUCAUCCGCGCGAGGAGCCUGUUUCCCAGCAGUGGCGGAGCCAACCAUGGAAACACUUCCCUACAAUCUUCUGUUCCGUUCGAUUGUACAUGCAGAUGCAGUGCAUCUGGGUCUCGAUUCAAUUUCGCCAGGUGGUGCGCUGAAUACUCCUGCUGAUUCUAAUGGUAUUGGGAAAUAUGCGGCAAAACUUAUAUGAGCUGGAUUUCAAUGUUGUUGCCAUGAGGGAAACACAAUGGAGGUAUGUGUGCCAGCCAAUCGUACAGGUCAGUUCAAAGAACGUCUGAAGAAAGGCUAUGUGUGUACCAGUCAAUUGUAUAGGAUACAUCUCGCAUGGGUGAGAUCAGAAGGUCCAGGUCAUUGUUUGGCAAUGUAUCUGUGGCUUACGCUGAAAACUUCCUCUCAUAAUGAUGGUUGCUGUGUGACCUUAUCCGUGGUUUAUGUUGGAAGCAAGCAUGUUUUUUGAUAACUUCUUCUACGCUGGUGACCGUUGGCUGAAGUUAUUUCAGUGCGAGAACCGAGCUAUACUUUAA